CGUCGCAUGCUGAUUCCGGGAAAGCGUACACAAUCAAAUAUGUUUUGAGGGCCUUUUUGGGAUAACUGAUAACGUGGAGACGGUUAUAAGUAAAGACGAGAAUGUUUUGUAAUUUUCAAAAUUUGUUAUUUGGAAAUUAACGCGAAAAGUUACCACUUCAAAUCUAUUUUAUAAUAUUUAUAUAUUUACUUGUAUAAUGCGACCAAAAAUAUAGUGCAUUUAUUGCUUUGAAGUUAAGUAGGACUUGAAUCUGUACUCUACUUAUAUUAUAGGUAUUGGAGGGGGGGGGGGUCAACACGGCCCCCUGGGGCAAGAAGGCCCACCUCAAAAAUUCACCAAAAAAAUUUUUUUUCGUCAUUAUAAUUAUAAGUUCUGGUUAUUUGUAAAAUCUUAUAAAUACCAAUAAUAAAUUUUUCAUCUAUAGGAAAAUAGUUACUAAUAAGUUUUUUUAUUUAACUUCAACAAAACAAAAAUAAAUCGACUUGAUGGUUAAAAGUCACAAAAAAUAAUACUCUCCGCUACACUCGACGAAUUCUUCAUUUUUGACCCUCCGAACCGUCCCCUCCCCAUGACAAAUUUAUUUAUAUUUGUAUACUUUUUUAAACUUGGAGUACAUUAUAAUAUCUUAAAAUAAUAAAAAACAAAUAAUAAACUUUAUCGACAACUUUAAUUGCCGAUUUAUGUCAAUUUGUUCCAAUAAAGCAAUUGACCCCUAAAAAAAACAUAUCCCUUUUUUAAAUCAAGCGAACUUGAUCAGUAUAUUUGAUUCAAAAAGCUGGGGGCAAAGUUAGUUUAAAAACAAACUAGUUCCAACCCAAACCGAAGUUUUUAGCAUCCCUACACAAAUUGGGCAAAUUCUGUUAAACAUAUAGAAAUAGCAGAACAAUUAUAUAUCGCAUAUAAUAUAGAACAAAUAAUAAUUAGAACAGGUGAUGAUAGCGAUAGUGAUACUGAUAUAUUAUGUGAAUAAUUUUAAGUAAUUUAAGUAGGUAAUAAAAAUAAUUUGUAAUUUUAUUUUAAAUUUAAACAUAAAUACUUUCAUAAAUAAAUAUGGUUUAGUAUCUUUCCUAACAAAACCCCAAAUAAUUAAAUUCUAAGCAAAGUACGGACCUGUUCGGCCAUAUUUCAUUCUUACAGCUUGCCCGGGUCUUUCCUUAAUUCGUAUCAAUUAGUCACUUUCUUAUAUCUAUGAACAGACUUUAGCAUAGUAAGACUUAGCAAAGAAAUCAGCAUUUAAAAUGUCUAUCUAAUAAUUUAUCAUUAGAAAAAUCCUGUCUGGAAUGUAAGGUAAAUUAGUAAUAAAACGCUCAAAUUUAUUUGGAUCCAUCCAUCUCACACUCAGCAUACAAUCUAUAAGAAUUAAUAGCUUAAAUUCAUUACGAGCAUCAAGAUCAUUCUUAAUCUUCAAUUCUUCAAGUAUUGUAAAGUUUGGUCGACCCCCCCUCCAACCUUCGAUGUGCUACCGGGUCCGCACUACGGUCUCGACGGACCGGCAACCCCAGCAGCCGACACCAUUUUGCUCGGGCUCUCCAAGUGCGACGACCUUUGACCUACAGACGGCGACGCCGACUUGGCCGACGCAUCGUCGCGCAUUUUCCGACUAUAAACGCACCACGACGUCUAUUCAAUCGGCGCUACGAGAACCCCCACCCAAAGGCCCGCCCCCCACCACGCGGGCGUCAGUGAUAAAGCAAUCUUAUCUCCACGUCGAAGAUCGCCAGCAAAGGAAUCAAGAGAACAACUGCAACCUCAACGUUCGAGUUAAAGGAAAAAAAUAGCCAUAGUUGACGUGAUGAGAUGGAAUAGAAAACAUUGGGGAGCCCUGGCGUCUUAGAUAGAUGCCAACCAACCCACACAGAACCGUAAACUAUAUCAGCCCGAGUCACUGAACCCUGAAUUAAAACACCUCACCUCUGCUCUGUUCUCUCAUAAUUUCCACAUUAAAGAUAUUAAGCAUUCAAUCAAAAAAUACACUUCACCACAAACUUCCAAUAGCAAUGAAACUGAAAGCAAUCCCACACUUGCCACUGUUGUCGUUCCUUAGAAGCCUGUGGAAGUUUCUGGUUUUGCACCCACAAGACACAUUU